rnacentral:rRNA from 1 species
ACAAAAAGGAUAAGUACAAAAAUAAAUGAUUCAAACGAAUAAGGGCUUAGGGUGGAUACCUUGGCAUCCAGAAGCGAUGAAGGGCGUGGCUACCAACGAAAUGCUUCGAGAAGCUGGAAGCAAGCUUUGAUCCGGAGGUUCCCGAAUGAGGCAACUCUUUAUACUGUCUACUGAAUAUAUAGGUAGAUAAGAGCGAACUUAGUGAACUGAAACAUCUUAGUAACUAAAGGAAAAGAAAGCAAAAGCGAUUCCCAUAGUAGCGGCGAGCGAAAAGGGAACAGCCUAAACUGUUUAAUUUAUUUAAACAGGGUUGAGGGACAACACAAAAUAAAUUAACUAGAUUAGAUGAAAUAUUUGGAAUAAUAUAUCAAAGAAGGUGAAAAUCCUGUAAUCGAAAAUCUAGUUGUUUAAGAGUUGUAUCCCGAGUAGCAUCGAACACGUGAAAUUCGGUGUGAAUCUGCGAGGACCACCUCGUAAGGCUAAAUAUUCCUGGAUGACCGAUAGUGAAAUAGUACCGUGAGGGAAAGGUGAAAAGAACCCCGGGAGGGGAGUGAAAUAGAACAUGAAACCCUAAGCUUACAAGCAGAGGAAGAACGACUAAAACGUUUAACCUCGUGCCUGUUGAAGAAUGAGCCGGCGACUUGUAGGCAAUGGCAGGUUAAGUUAGAGAAUAACGAAGCCAGAGUGAAAGCGAGCCUGAAUAAGGCAUAGGUCAUUGUUUACAGACCCGAACCCGGGUGAUCUAGCCAUGACCAGGAUGAAGCUUAGGUAACACUAAGUGGAGGUCCGAACCGACUGAUGUUGAAAAAUCAGCGGAUGAGUUGUGGCUAGAGGUGAAAUGCCAAUCGAACCCGGAGCUAGCUGGUUCUCCCCGAAAUGCGUUGAGGCGCAGCGGUUGAUGCUAUAAUCUAGAGGUAAAGCACUGUUUCAUUGAGGGCUAUGAAAAUAGUACCAAAUUGAGGCAAACUCUGAAUGCUAGAUGUGUAAUCAACCAGUGAGACUAUGGGGGAUAAGCUCCAUAGUCAAGAGGGAAACAGCCCAGAUCACCAUUUAAGGCCCCUAAAUAAUUACUAAGUGGAAAAGAAAGUGGGAACACAAAGACAACCAGGAGGUUUGCUUAGAAGCAGCAAUCCUUUAAAGAGUGCGUAAUAGCUCACUGGUCAAGUGAUCCUGCAUCGAAAAUUAAUGGGACUAAGUAAUUUGCCGAAAAUGUGAGAUGUUUCUAAACAUCGGUAGGGGAGCGUUUUGCUUUAGGUUGAAGCGUUAGUGUAAACGGACGUGGACGAGGCAGAAGUGAGAAUGCCGGCUUGAGUAGCGAAAACAUUGGUGAGAAUCCAAUGCCCUGAAAACCCAAGGAUUCCUCUGGAAGGUUCGUCCGCAGAGGGUUAGUCAGGACCUAAGGUGAGGCUGAAAAGCGUAGUCGAUGGAUAACAGGUUAAUAUUCCUGUACCACUUAUUAUGGAUAUCGGGGGACGAAAAAGGCUAGGCUAGCCGGAUGUUGGUUACCGGUUUAAGCAGUCAAGGCUGUGAGAAGUGGUUGAAAACACUUUGAGCUAAGAUGUGAAUACAAGGUAUGAAAAUACCAAAGUAGUUGAGGCCAAGUUUCCAAGAAAAGCCCGUAAUAUCUUACAUAAUAAGUGCCUGUACCGUAAACUGACACAGGUGGGUUGGUAGAGUAUACCAAGGGGCGCGAGAUAACUCUCUCUAAGGAACUCGGCAAAAUGGCCCCGUAACUUCGGGAAAAGGGGUGCCCUAAAUAAGGGUUGCAAGAUCCAGGCCCAAGCGACUGUUUACCAAAAACACAGGUCUCCGCUAAGUCGUAAGACGAUGUAUGGGGGCUGACGCCUGCCCAGUGCCGGAAGGUUAAAGAAGCUGGUUAGCUUUAAUGGCAAAGCUAGCAACUGAAGCCCCGGUGAACGGCGGCCGUAACUAUAACGGUCCUAAGGUAGCGAAAUUCCUUGUCGGGUAAGUUCCGACCCGCACGAAAGGCGUAACGACUUGGGCACUGUCUCAGAGAGAGACUCGGCGAAAUAGAAUUGUCUGUGAAGAUGCGGACUACCUGCACCUGGACAGAAAGACCCUAUGAAGCUUUACUGUAGCCUGAAAUUGAAUUCGGGUUUUGCUUGCGCAGAAUAGGUGGGAGACUAAGAAGAUCUUUCUCCGGAGAGAUUGGAGUCGUCAGUGAGAUACCACCCUAGUAAAACUAGAAUUCUAAUUUUGAUCCGUAAGCCGGAUAAAAAACAGUUUCAGGUGGGCAGUUUGACUGGGGCGGUCGCCUCCUAAAAAGUAACGGAGGCGUGCAAAGGUUUCCUCAAACUGGUCAGAAAUCAGUUGAAGAGUGUAAAGGCAUAAGGAAGCUUAACUGCGAGACAAACAAGUCGAGCAGAGACGAAAGUCGGCCUUAGUGAUCCGGCGGUUUUGAGUGGAAGAGCCGUCGCUCAACGGAUAAAAGUUACUCUAGGGAUAACAGGCUGAUCUCCCCCAAGAGUCCACAUCGACGGGGAGGUUUGGCACCUCGAUGUCGGCUCAUCGCAUCCUGGAGCGGUAGUACGUUCCAAGGGUUGGGCUGUUCGCCCAUUAAAGCGGUACGUGAGCUGGGUUCAGAACGUCGUGAGACAGUUCGGUCCAUAUCCGGUGUAGGCGUUAGAGUAUUGAGAGGAGCUCUCCUUAGUACGAGAGGACCGGGAGAGAUGUACCGCUGGUGUACCAGUUAUCGUGCCAAUGGUAAACGCUGGGUAGCUAAGUACAGAAGGGAUAACCGCUGACAGCAUCUAAGUGGGAAGCCUACCUCAAGAUGAGUACUCUCACCGUUAUAAACGGGUAAGGUCACGGCAAGACUAGCCGUUAAAUAGGCAUUAAGUGUAAGUGUAGUAAUACAUUAAGCUGAAAUGUACUAAUAGACCGAGGGUUUGAAUC